AGAGUUAUUUGGUGACGAACCCCAAGGUGCAGAGAAAGAGGCAAGCAUUGAACAGGAAAACAUCGCGGAGCUCUUGCUAAAGACGGAACAUUUGGCAGAAAUACCUGACAAUUCGGCAAACUUCAUGGCUGGCUCACUUCGUGGUCACUCCGUGAUCACUUACGACCGCCAGACACUUCUGGAUGUGGACAGAUCGGGCCGUUUUGGACCGAUAGACGCGUGCUUGCUAGACUUGCUAACUAGCAAGGGAAUACUUCGGCAGCUACAACCAGCGGCCUGUGAAGCAGGGGAGUCUAGUAGCAGCAGGGGCCGUCUACGGAGCAGACGCCAGCGGUGUGAUCGGAAACGCGGAUGCCGAGCGGGGCUAAAAAAAAAGCUAAAAGCUAAUUACCACAGAACACCACUUUCCUCCAUCCUGAAAACGGAUUUAAAUGGAAGAUGCGAAACUACUGGUCUGGUUCUUCUGUGCAGAGGGCAGACUACACCCGCUCCGGGCCCGACUACACCCGCUCCGGGCCCGACUACACCCGCACCGGGCCCGACUACACCCGCACCGGGCCCGACUACACCCGCUCCGGGCCCGACUACACCCGCUCCGGGCCCGACUACACCCGCUCCGGGCCCGACUACACCCGCUCCGGGCCCGACUACACCCGCUCCGGGCCCGACCACCCUGUCUCCGGAUAAUUCGACCUCUCUUGGACCCUCGCCCUCAUCGACGAUCCAAACCACCGAAGGCGAAGAACCGCCAGAGGGUCUUUCAGAGGGCGCCAUCGCCGGUAUUGCCAUCGGUUCUAUCGCAGGUGUGGCCGCCGUUGGUGGCGGUGUUUUUGGUAUACUCCGGUACACUGGGAGGGUCUGAGAGCAGAUUAUCCCAAUUUUGUUGUCAUGGACGACAAGAAAGGAAAACAUGUUAAUUAGCAUCAUUUUUUAAAUUCAUGUUUCGGUAAAUAAGCAAGCCCCUUUUCAGGGCUAUUGUUUUUGUGUUGGUUUGUUUACAUGGGAUAUUAAAUGUAUUCUUCUGUCAUCUUUGAAGGGCUGAUGAUGUGUGAUUUAAAAAAAAAUAAAACAUUCUAAACAUAUUAAUAGGCAAGGGGAUUUUCAUGUAAAUUAUUUGUUGCAAUGUUUUUUGUAUAUAAAUAAUUGUUCUUUUAAUAA